rnacentral:rRNA from 1 species
GAUGAACGCUGGCGGCGUGCUUAACACAUGCAAGUCGAACGGUGAAGCCAAGCUUGCUUGGUGGAUCAGUGGCGAACGGGUGAGUAACACGUGAGCAACCUGCCCUGGACUCUGGGAUAAGCGCUGGAAACGGCGUCUAAUACUGGAUAUGAGACGUGAUCGCAUGGUCGUGUUUGGAAAGAUUUUUCGGUCUGGGAUGGGCUCGCGGCCUAUCAGCUUGUUGGUGAGGUAAUGGCUCACCAAGGCGUCGACGGGUAGCCGGCCUGAGAGGGUGACCGGCCACACUGGGACUGAGACACGGCCCAGACUCCUACGGGAGGCAGCAGUGGGGAAUAUUGCACAAUGGGCGAAAGCCUGAUGCAGCAACGCCGCGUGAGGGAUGACGGCCUUCGGGUUGUAAACCUCUUUUAGCAGGGAAGAAGCGAAAGUGACGGUACCUGCAGAAAAAGCGCCGGCUAACUACGUGCCAGCAGCCGCAGUAA